rnacentral:rRNA from 1 species
AUUGAACGCUGGCGGCAGGCCUAACACAUGCAAGUCGAGCGGAUGAAGGGAGCUUGCUCCUGGAUUCAGCGGCGGACGGGUGUGUAAUGCCUAGGAAUCUGCCUGGUUGUGGUGGAUAACGUCCGGAAACGGGCGCUAAUACUGCAUACGUCCUGAGGGAGAAAGUGGGGGAUCUUCGGACCUCACGCUAUCAGAUGAGCCUAGGUCGGAUUAGCUAGUUGGUGGGGUAAAGGCCUACCAAGGCGACGAUCCGUAACUGGUCUGAGAGGAUGAUCAGCCACACUGGAACUGAGACACGGUCCAGACUCCUACGAGAGGCAGCAGUGGGGAAUAUUGGACAAUGGGCGAAAGCCUGAUCCAGCCAUGCCGCGUGUGUGAAGAAGGUCUUCGGAUUGUAAAGCACUUUAAGUUGGGAGGAAGGGCAGUAAGUUAAUACCUUGCUGUUUUGACGUUACCAACAGAAUAAGCACCGGCUAACUUCGUG